rnacentral:rRNA from 1 species
GACGUAGGGGGCCAGCGUUGUUCGGAAUUACUGGGUGUAAAGGGUUCGUAGGCGGUGUGGCAAGUCGGGAGUGAAAUUUCUGGGCUUAACUCCGAAACUGCAUUCGAUACUGCCGUGCUUGAGGACUGGAGAGGAGACUGGAAUUUACGGUGUAGCGGUGAAAUGCGUAGAUAUCGUAAGGAAGACCAGUGGCGAAGGCGGGUCUCUGGACAGUUCCUGACGCUGAGGCACGAAAGCGUGGGGAGCAAACAGG